rnacentral:lncRNA from 1 species
GGCAUUCAAAGAUAAGAAUCUUUGGCAGGCGGCGUCACAAAUUUAUACUUGUCCGUAUGGUCAUCUGGAGAAUGAUUUGUCGAGCGGAGCCGAGUCUCAGAAUUGAGUUCAGUGUGAGAUGUUGGACAAGUUGAUGUACGGGCUGCUGUUGUUGGUGAUUUACAUAAUCUACCACUAAAUGCCAGAAAUAUGAACGGGUUGGCACAGCUGUUUAAUCCGGUAAGUAACAGUAUGAUAGUCAUGGCGGCUCCUGUAA